CGUCAGUCAUUGCGCUCCGCCGCCGCUGCGCUCCGGUUUGGUUGGCCCUCGCUGCCCGCCUCCCCCGUCUGCCUCGCGCCAUUGGUCAGUACUUGAUAAGGGGGUGGGAUUUCGGGGAGCAGCCGCUUGCGAUAGGUUGAGUGAGCCGUCAGUCAGGGGAGCUUUUCGAUUAGCGAGCGCCAGCAGGUUGGGAUGCGCCUCUAAAAGCGGACGGCGGGGGAGGGGGGAGAUGUCGGGAGUGGCGGGCGCUGGGGUGGGAAGAGGAGGAGGAGGAACGAGGGAGGGCUGCGUUCACGGGUGGAGUUGCGUAACGGGGGCUCCGGGCUGGAGGAGUGGACGCCACUGAGGAAGGCGCCAUGUCCCACCGGCGGGGGGCAGCAGGCACGCUCGCACCCCCCGCCCCUCCCCGCUUCGGGCGUGGCGCUCUUGGCAGAAACGGAAAAUAAAUGCUUCCCGGAGGAGGGACGGGGCCGAACGGGGCUGUGAGGAAGAUGCUUGGGUAGCGGGUAACGCUCGCACGGAAGGGCGGCGACCGCCCCCGCCGUUGGUUUCGCCCACGCCCCCCACCUCCCCUGGGAGCCCGUGACAGGUGGAGCGGCCCCUGCCGGCAUGCGCGCGCGCGCCCCCGCGGCUGUCACGUGGCGCAGGCCGCCGCGCGCGCUUCGCGCGAGACGCACCGCAAAUCUCGCGAUGCCUCGAAGGCCUCAGGGCGUGAGGGCGGCCCCGACUGGAGCGGUGGGAAAAGCGCGAAGGACGGAAAUGGCAACACCUGGGGAUUCGGUACUUCUGGGCACGCCUCGCUUGUGGAUCAUCACAUGUUUUCUGGUCCUGAUGGUGCAGAGACAGUGGCAGGAAUGAAGAUCUGAUCAAGAUAAAGUCUUAAAUAAUGCAAAUGAAGACUCAGAGUAGUGUGUCCCUGCUGCUCUUAGAAGCAGACUCUUGUAAUGUAGCUCUGCUUUCUGAUGCAAAUGCAGGAAGAACCAAAGAAAGCAUCAGGGUCUGAUGAUGUUUCAUUUCUUCAUAAAAGAGUCAGCAGUCAGUUUGUUGAGAGUGUUGAUAAAAGAGACAGACAUUUGUGUUUAAAGGACUUGCAAGUCUGGAAUCCAGGUAAAACCCAAGUUAUUUUUGGUUCUGGGAAUGGGCCAUAGUCUGUUAAUAGUAGAAACACUGUGAUCAAACAUCUGUGUUCAUUUGUAUUGUUCACGGCUUCUCUGUCGUGGAUUUUCUUGGCAGAGUUUCCUCAGGUGCCAGAAUCAGUGCCAGGAGUCUGACUGUUUGGAAUGUGCCAUAACUGUGGGAUUUCAAUGCAGAUUGUUUCUGUGGAUCUUGACUCCCAGGUGUGAAGUUUCCACUUUGCAGUAUUCUGAGUAUAAAUCAGCGGAAAGGAGAGUAGACAAAACCAUUUCUUGGUGGAAGAGAGGGAUUGCUAAGCCACAGAGCAAUUCAGGAGACUGUAGAGUCCUAGUCCAGCUGAAACUUGUGUGUACCUGAAGUCACAAUAGCUGAGUUAUUUCUCUAGUAUUGUCAGUGCUCCUCUUAACCCUGUCUGAAUUUCUGGGAUUGAAUUUCCAGAUGCCCUUAUUUGUUGGUUUGUUUGUUUGUUUCCUGUCGUUUCCAAGUCACAUAGCGAAUUUGAAGGAGCAGUAGAUAAGUCCUUGUUGGAUACAGCUGAAAUACUAUGGUCUUCUGUAGUCCAGGCAUACUUGUAGUCACCAGCAGCAAGAUCCAUCCCAGGAAAAACUGGUGUUUGAAGCUGGGUAUAUCAGUUGAAAUUGGUUUGGUUUUCAUUCCUGACCAGCUAAGCAAGUGAGGGCAGUGGUCAUCCUCUUACCCAAGAGUCUGAAGAAGCUGAGGAGCCACGUGUGAUCUCAUGCUGGUCUUUAAGAAAGGAUUUUGAGGUGUGGAGUCAACAUUAUGCUCCCAAUAAUGCAGGAGAUGUUUGACUAUGAGGCAAGUCUUUUUGCAGCAGAGCAGGCAAAAUGUGUUGAGACAAUUUUGGAUUCAUGUGACAGCGUGUACGUAUUGAAAGACAGCAAUGAACAAAGCAGGCUGACCAACAGAACCCACAGGAUGCCAUUCUGUGUCCUACAAAACUUAAAUUUAAGACUUGCGUUGUAGCUAUCUUGCCAAAUUUUAGUCAACCUGCCUGAAAUAUGUGGCUAUUUGACAUACGUGGGAAAGCAGCAUAAACCAGUAAAAUCUGGCAAUAGGUCAGUUAGGGAGAAAGCAGUUUCAUUAACACUAUCUCAGCAUUUGUUUUCCUUGCUGUUUUCUUUUACUCCAAGAAAAGAAGAAAAGCUUAAAUUACUAAACUAUUUUCUUGGUACUUGGAACAAAAACUCCUGUAGUGCUUCAUUUUUGUACUUUAGCAGUGGCUUUUCCAUUGUCCAGGAGUUUGUAGUAAAAUGACCUGCAAUUUACAUGUUCUUUCUACUACCCACGUUAAAGAUCUGAUGGAUGUUGUGUAAUGAUCUGUGUUUUGACAGCAUAUGGUGGUCAAGAAAGUGGGGAAGCUGAUCUAAACCCCAUGGUUUUGGGGUUUUCUUCCCCACAAAAAAAAAAGGCAAAUCCUUUUCUGAUAAUAAGGAAAAGCAACACAUGGGUAGAAUUAUUACUGAAAAUAGGAAAAAAGUCAUCCAGAUGCUGUUUUUCACUAUGUUGAAGAAAAAAUUGCUCUUUAAUCUCAAAUACUUUUCUAGCUUUGGGUAGUAAGGGGAGUGAACUAGUCUAGGGAAUGAGUCAUUAUAAAGAAAAAAAUACGGUUUUUGAUGGAAAUUUUAAAAAUCAAGGCUACAUUCUUUGGUUAUAGACCUUAAUUAUUAUUGUUCUGUCUUGCUUGAAUCAUGUAGUCAUUUUUGUCUAUUGCCCUCUCUGUCCUUGGAUAGCAUGAGUUUAAAACCUGGAUUGUCUUUGAAAGGCUUAAUGCUGGAAUUCAUCUGGGAGUUAAGUGGUAAUUAAUGGUCAUAAGAAGUCCACACAGUCACCAGGUAAGCAGUAAUAUGCAUCCCUGUGCAGCAUCAUGUCAGCAAUUCAGUCCAAACAUGGAGGCUGUGUCAUAACCUUAACUGUAUUCUAAGCUGUUUCAUGAGAUUCAGAAAGCAGGGCAUUUUUCUGUAGAUUUGCUGUGUACGAGAGACCAGUUCUCUGCAUGCCAGCAUGAACACAGGGACCUCUUUGCUGAAGCUCUACCAGUAGAAGAAACGGCUGUUAGAAGAUCUGUAUCCUGGGUUUGCAGUAUAUACAUCUAUGUCAUACUAAAUGACAGUUUCUGCUGACUUGGAGAAAUAAAUACUCUGAAAAAUUA